rnacentral:rRNA from 1 species
AGAGUUUGAUCCUGGCUCAGGAUGAACGCUGGCGGCGUGCCUAACACAUGCAAGUCGAACGGAACUUCUUUGACAGAAUUCUACGGAAGGAAGUUGAUUAAGUUUAGUGGCGGACGGGUGAGUAACGCGUGAGUAACCUGCCUUUGAGAGGGGAAUAACUUCCCGAAAGGGAUGCUAAUACCGCAUGACGCAUAUUUAUCGCAUGGUAGAUAUGCCAAAGAUUUAUCGCUCAAAGAUGGACUCGCGUCCGAUUAGCCAGUUGGCGGGGUAACGGCCCACCAAAGCGACGAUCGGUAGCCGGACUGAGAGGUUGAACGGCCACAUUGGGACUGAGACACGGCCCAGACUCCUACGGGAGGCAGCAGUGGGGGAUAUUGCGCAAUGGGGGAAACCCUGACGCAGCAACGCCGCGUGAAGGAUGAAGGUUUUCGGAUUGUAAACUUCUUUUAUUUAGGACGAAGAAUGACGGUACUAAAUGAAUAAGCUCCGGCUAACUACGUGCCAGCAGCCGCGGUAAUACGUAGGGAGCAAGCGUUAUCCGGAUUUACUGGGUGUAAAGGGUGCGUAGGCGGCUUGGUAAGUCAGAUGUGAAAUGUAUGGGCUCAACCCAUGCACUGCAUUUGAAACUAUUGAGCUUGAGUGAAGUAGAGGUAGGCGGAAUUCCCUGUGUAGCGGUGAAAUGCGUAGAGAUAGGGAGGAACACCAGUGGCGAAGGCGGCCUACUGGGCUUUAACUGACGCUGAGGCACGAAAGCGUGGGUAGCAAACAGGAUUAGAUACCCUGGUAGUCCACGCUGUAAACGAUGAUUACU